UGGAAAUCAGAAAGAAAAUAGAAAAGGUGUUGAAAAAUUUAGGGUUAUAUAUACACAGACGAAGCGCUCAUACAAAGACAAUCAAUCUGUAUUAUUAGCUAGCUUUAGGGUUGGGUUAUAUUUAUAAUCAGGGCCAAUCCUAACCCUAGACAUCAACCAUGUCGUCUAAAGGCAAGCAAGGUGGAAAAGCAAAGCCAUUGAAACAGCCCAAGGCUGAUAAGAAAGAAUACGACGAGGAUGAUUUGGCUAAACUCCAGAAAAAGAAGGAAGAGGAAAAGGCACUCAAGGAGCUUAAAGCGAAAGCUCAACAGAAGGGUGCAUUUGGAGGUGCUGGGCUAAAGAAAAGCGGGAAGAAAUGAGGUCCCUAAAGUGUUAAUUGACGUGGAACCUGCUCUUCUGUCACAAGAAAUACACAUCUGAUAUGUUUUCAAUAUUUUUGAAUUUCAUAUGUUUAGUUUUUAUUAACUACACGUACAAAACUUGUAUGAUUUAUUCAUCUAUCAUUGACCAGAAUUAUAUUGUCAAUUUCUGUUUAGUCAAAGUGAAAAGUAGUUUUAUUA